rnacentral:rRNA from 1 species
GUGAUCUGAGUUCAGACCGGAGUAAUCCAGGUCAGUUUCUAUCUAUGAGAAGUUUAUUUUAGUACGAAAGGACCAAAAAAACAUGGCCAAUACACACGCAAGCCAUCAUUAUCAAUUUAUGUUCACUUAAUAAAUAUCUAAAUCACCUCUACCUCCAAGAAAAGGAUA